rnacentral:rRNA from 1 species
UUCAAAGAGUGCGUAAUAGCUCACUGGUCGAGUGAUCCUGCGCCGAAGAUUUCCGGGGCUAAAACUUACUACCGAAGCUACGGCAUCAGUAAUGAUGGGUAGGGGAGCUUCCCAUACGGGUUGAAGCAUGACCGUAAGGACAUGUGGACAGUAUGGGAGUGAGAAUGUUGGCAUGAGUAGCGAGAUGUGGGUGAGAAUCCCACAGGCCGUAAACCCAAGGUUUCCAGGGGAAGGUUCGUCCGCCCUGGGUUAGUCGGGACCUAAGCUGAGGCCGAAAGGCGUAGGUGAUGGACAACAGGUUGAUAUUCCUGUACUACCGAUAACCGUUUGAGAGAAGGGAUGACACAGUAGGAUAAGCUAAGCACACUGUUGGUUAUGUGUGCCCAAGCAUUGAGGCAGUCAAAGUAGGCAAAUCCGCUUUGAUAAUGCUGGGAUGUGAUGGGGAGCGAAAUUUAGUAGCGAAGUAGCUGAUUUCACACUGUCAAGAAAAGUCUCUAUCGAGGUUAAAGGUACCCGUACCGCAAACCGACACAGGUGGGUGAGGAGAGUAUCCUAAGGCCAGCGAGAGAACUGUUGUUAAGGAACUCGGCAAAAU